CCGAGGCUGCGACGCCGAACUCUGAUAAUUUUUAAAGAUUUGCUGCGAAAUUCGAGGCUUGACUGUGAUUUAAAUGCCGACACCAACGGGGCUAUCCGCAAGGGGUUGUUCUCAGCCUUUGGCGUCAUGUAAGCGGCGCAGGAGCUUCCCGACAAUUCGUUAGUCGGGGUUGAGCUGCUGAGCGCGAUUGAGAUGUGUGACAGAAAUAACAGUCGUAAGUUUCUUCUGCGGGACAAUUCAUGCAUGCCAUCGGAUCAGUAGCGUCGCGUUCUCCUUUGUUCGGGUUCUGAGAACGAAAUAGCCCCGGGUAUGCUGGGAAUUUCUCCAUCAAUGGCGCUUCGCUUCGAGGUGCUUGCUCGUCACAACAGAGCCCGUGCAUCGCGUCUUACCCUGCCGCAUUAUGAGGCUCUUACCCCACUAUUUAUGCCUGUCGGUACACAAGGCACCAUAAAAGGGCUUACAAAUGAUCAGUUGGAGGAUUUGGACUGUCAGAUUAUUCUUGGAAAUACGUACCACCUGGCAUUGCGCCCCGGAGCCGACUUGCUAGAUACAAUUGGAGGGCUUCACAAAUUCAUGAACUGGCCUCGUGCUCUUCUGACUGACUCUGGCGGCUUUCAAAUGGUAUCACUUCUUCACUUAGCAGACAUAACAGAAGAAGGAGUUACUUUUCAGUCUCCAGUUGAUGGGAAACCCAUGUUGUUGACACCAGAAGAUUCCAUUCAGAUACAGAACAAAAUAGGUGCAGACAUCAUUAUGGCUUUGGAUGAUGUGGUGAAAACUACGACUACAGGCCCUCGUGUAGAGGAGGCUAUGUAUCGAACCCUGCGAUGGAUUGAUCGCUGUAUUGCAGCGCACUCAAGACCACAUGAACAGAACCUUUUUGGGAUAGUACAGGGUGGCUUAGAUCCACAGCUUAGAGAUAUAUGUUUGGAAGGUUUGGUGGCACGCAACUUACCUGGGUACGCAAUUGGAGGGUUAGCUGGCGGGGAGGGGAAGGAUGCGUUUUGGAGAGUUGUUGCACAAUGUACAGCAGGACUUCCGGAAGAUAAGCCUCGUUAUGUAAUGGGUAUAGGAUUUCCUCUGGACAUUGUGGUCUGUACUGCUCUUGGAGCCGACAUGUAUGACUGUGUGUAUCCUACUCGUACAGCUCGCUUUGGCUCCGCACUUGUAUCUGAGGGCGUUCUGAGAUUGACACACGCAGCUAUGGCCACGGAUUAUCGACCUCUUGAUUCAUCCUGCACCUGUAUGGUUUGUAAGCGGUACACAAGAGCGUAUUUGCACACACUUGUGACAAAAGAAGCAAUGGGUUCUCAACUGGUUUCUUACCACAAUAUUUCCCACAUGAUGCAGUUGAGUCGUAAUCUACACAGUUCAAUCUUAGAAGGACGCUUUCCAGAUAUUCAUGGCGGGAGCUAGAUUGUUGCCGUUGAUUGCAGAUAUAUACUUUGAAGUACCAGUAGAAUUAUUCCUUCCUAAAUUGAAGGUUCUAAUCUGUCUCUUACGUGCAUUCAGUGCGCUGUUGUUUUAUCCGACCUUUAUUUUGUUUGAUUUUUACUGUUUAAUGAUAAUUUUGUGUGGGAUGGUAUUACAGAUUUGUUCAAUCAUUCUUGCAAAAACAGUUUCCAAAAGGUGAUGUUCCAGACUGGGUAUGUAAUGCUAUGGAUGUGGCCGGCAUCGAUAUUUCUAUGUGUCGUAUACCCCAAUCUGCAUAGACAGGAAACUUGCAAAUUUGGUAUACAAUCUGAAGGAUGAAGCUGGACCUCUUUCAAUAAUCAGAGGUGCAAAGCGCAUGCAGGUCUCGUUAUCAUUUCUUCAUCAUGCUAAAGCCAACAUUGACCUGCAUUUGAGAACACAGAUUUGGAUAAGGGUGUAUGCAAAACUUAGUCCCUUUGCUUGGCCGAAAGGCGCAUGUUUGUUGUGAGCACGGGCAAUGCAAGGGCAGUUAGUACAAAACUUUAAAGCGGUGAGCGACAUAUUCAUUACUAAGUAAUUCGAUUUUUCAGGUAGAACUGGAUGUGCACCAUGAUCAGGACUUUGCUUCCUGCUUUGUUCUCAAUUUUUUGGUGGUAGAAAACCCAUUCAGGUAAUUCAGGAUUCAUGGCAGGUCUUGCUCCUUGCUCCAUCAUUUCUGGUAAGACACAUUUAUUUGUCGAUAGUUUGUGUAUCCCAAAACUUUCUGUGAUAAGUUCCAAGUAUUUCAUAUUGUCCAAGUGAAA